UAGGGAAUCUUCGGCAAUGGACGAAAGCCUGACCGAGCAACGCCGCGUGAGUGAAGAAGGUUUUCGGAUCGUAAAACUCUGUUGUUAGAGAAGAACAAGGACGUUAGUAACUGAACGUCCCCUGACGGUAUCUAACCAGAAAGCCACGGCUAACUACGUGCCAGCAGCUGCGGUAAUACGUAGGUGGCAAGCGGUGUCCGGAGUUAUUGGGCGUAAAGCGAGCGCAGGCGGUUUCUUCAGUCUGAUGUGAAAGCCCCCGGCUCAACCGGGGAGGGUCAUUUGAAACUGGGGGACUAGACUGCAGAAGAGGAGAGUGGAAUUCCAUGUGUAGCGGUGAAAUGCGUAGAUAUAUGGAGGAACACCAGUGGCGAAGGCGGCUCUCUGGUCUGUAACUGACGCUGAGGCUCGAAAGCGUGGGGAGCAAACAGG
rnacentral:rRNA from 1 species